rnacentral:misc_RNA from 1 species
UACGUAGGGAGCAAGCGUUGUCCGGAUUUACUGGGUGUAAAGGGCGCGCAGGCGGGUUGGUAAGUCAGAAGUGAAAUCCUACAGCUUAACUGUAGAACUGCCUUUGAUACUGCCAAUCUUGAGUAUGGAAGAGAGAGACGGAAUUCCAGGUGUAGUGGUGAAAUACGUAGAUAUCUGGAAGAACACCAGUUGCGAAGGCGGUCUCUUGGUCCAAUACUGACGCUGAGGCGCGAAAGCGUGGGUAGCAAACAGG